rnacentral:tRNA from 1 species
GGGGAAUUAGCUCAUUUGGCUAGAGUGCUUGCCUGGCAGGCAAGAGGUGACCGGUUCGAAUCCGGUAUUCUCCA